GACGAACGCUGGCGGCGUGCUUAACACAUGCAAGUCGAACGGAGUGGCGAACGGGUGAGUAACACGUGGGUGACCUGCCCUGCACUUCGGGAUAAGCCUGGGAAACUGGGUCUAAUACCGGAUAGUGGGGGAUGGGCCCGCGGCCUAUCAGCUUGUUGGUGGGGUAAUGGCCUACCAAGGCGGCGACGGGUAGCCGGCCUGAGAGGGUGGACGGCCAAAUAGGGACUGGGACACGUGCCGGACUCCUACGGGGGGCAGGAGUGGGGAAGAGUGAACAAUGGUCGGAGUCAGUAUGCAGCGACGCCGGGUGGGUGAGGACGGCCUUGUGUUUUGAAACUCCUUGCACCAUCGACGCGGUAGAUGGAGAAGAAGCACGGGCUAACUACGUGCCAGCAGCCGGGGUAAUAC
rnacentral:rRNA from 1 species